CUGCUGCCUGCCCACUCUUGAUCCCCUUCCUGAAGAGCCUCACUGCAGCACUAAAUGGAGCUCAAGGCCAUGGCCCAGGCGUGGAGGAUCAGGGGCCAAGAACAGAUGCAGAUAAAGUUGACAUCAUGUGGAUCUCACCACUCUUUUCCACCCUGAAGAAAAUAGACAUCUGGUCCCAAGCCCCCAAGGAGGAAGCUGAACUACAAGGACAGAUGCAUCACCAGCUAGUGCCCAAAAGCUCUUUGCAGGAUGUCCCAAAACCUCAGAUAAUGAAGAACGAAGAGCUUAUCACUGUGCAACCCACAGAUCUUUCUGCCAGGGAGUUCGUGGUUUACCAGUAUGGCCUCUCCAUCCUGCACCUCCUCAUCCCCCAGCUGCAUGCUCCUGAAAUCACCCUGCAGAUUGCUUCUCGUCUUCCUGCGAUGGACCUUGCAGACAACGCCUUCCAAGGCUCCUUCUUCUAUCAGAGCGCUGAAAACACGCUGUUCGUUGGGAGAGAGUCCUUGGCAUCCGUGGGAAGUUUCAUUCUGCUGCUGAUCCGCUGCCUGGCCCACAUCGCCACCGCCGAGGACUUCCGCCAGGACUCAAACCCUGCCUUUCUGAGGUCAUUUUACAAGGGCCUGCAGGCUUAUUUCGGGGAAGCCUUCUCUACCACACUGCGAAUGUCCGCGGUCUCCUGGGACAGUAAGCUUGACCAAAGCAUAAGCGCUGCUCUGCUGGACGAGCAGCCCAUCUCUGAAAGAGGAAGAGAUCUUCUCUCUACACUCCUUGAAAGGAAGUGUGAGUCUCGCUUGGAGCCAGAGUCAUCAGAAGAGUAUAUUAAGAGAAACACAGAUCUUCUCCUCUUUACCAACAUGGAACAUUUUCUAAAAACCCUCCUCACUGCAGAACAACAGAUCCCAAGAAAACCAAGAGAUCAGCAUGGGGAUGAAGAGAAGAGUGGUGACCUUACAUGUCAAGAUCCAGAUCAGCAGCUAGCACCCCGGAGAAAUAACUGAACACUGGCUUCAGCCCUGGGCCCCCGUCUACUUUGUGAAUAGUUAUCACCCAUGUCUGGGGUGAAAACUACCGUUAAAACUUUAUUAAAAUAUAACACAGCUUUUAAAAGUGCACAUGUCAUAAAUGCACUCCUCAUGAAUUGUCCAAAGUGAACAUUUCCGUGUUACAAACAUCAAGAAAGACAACAUCACCAGCCUCCCAUGUCCCCUCCAUCCGGUCGUCGGCCCCCCAAGAAUAACCUCUAUCCUGACUUCAGACUUCAUUAACUGUUUUUGUUUAUUCAUGAACUUCACAUAAAUAGAAUCGUAAAUUAUGAGUUACUUUAUCUUUUGCUCAGCAUCGCGUUUGUGAAGUGUAUUUAUAUUGUUGCAUGUGGUUUGUUGAUUCUCUUUGCUAUAAAACACUCCAUUGUGUGGCUAUUAUCAACAUGUAUUCUUUCCACUACUAAUGUUCCUUUGGGUAUUUUCCAGUUUGAGGUUAUUACAAAUAGUCUUGUGCGUAUUUUGGUGACUAUAUGUGACUGUACCAAGUCAGGUAUGACUUAGAACUGGGAAUUCUGGGUCUUAAGGGGUGGAUAUUUCCCUCCUUAGUAGAUACUACCAAUGGGAUCCAAAGUGAUUGUAUGAAUAUAGAUGCCCACCAGAAGUGGGUAAGAGUUCUGGUCACUCUCCAUUUUUUUCAGCAUUUAGUAUGUUCCAUCGUUUUUAUUUUAUGCAUUCUUCUGAGUAUGUGGUUUUAACUUGCACUUUCCUGAUGGCCUCUGAAACUGGGCACCAUCCAAAUGUUUAUACACCGUUUGAAUGUCUUCUCUUGAGAAGUGCCAGUCAAGUAUUUUGCCCAUUUUUCAUUGGAUUCCCUGUUUAAUUGAUUUGUAGGAAUUCUUUAUUCUGCAACUAUUUUUCCUCAUUCUGUGGAUUGUCUUUUUAUAAAAAUAACUACAUAUAAUGUUUCUUUUUCUGCUUUAUUUUUAGAUCUAGAAAGAAAAUGGUGAUCUCAUUUCAGUCUGCAUGUUUAAAAGGUGUUAAAUGUGGAAAUAUAUCUAAUAAGGUUGAUAGAAUUUUUUAAUACCUGUAACAUUGAUGUAUCAAUCACAUAAAUGUAUACUAUAAUCUUGGGUGGAUAUAUAACAUAACAGAGGUUAAUAUUUGGCACAGAGGAUAACAUGCUUUCAAUCACAUAUUUUAUUAAAAUAUUCAUUAUUUAGAGAUACUGACUGAACCUCUUUCUAGAAAUGUAAAUUUGUAUACCUUGUCCUUUAUCAGGCUAGUUAACUUAUCUGAAAUUAUCUAUUAUUGAGUCACACAAAGUAGUUAGAUAUACUUGCACAAUA
ensembl:lncRNA